AGAGUUUGAUCAUGGCUCAGGAUGAACGCUAGCGGCAGGCCUAACACAUGCAAGUCGAGGGGUAGAGCACUUCGGUGCUUGAGACCGGCGCACGGGUGCGUAACGCGUAUGCAAUCUACCUUAUACUAAGGGAUAGCCCAGAGAAAUUUGGAUUAAUACCUUAUAGUUAAUUUAGUUGGCAUCAAUUGAAUUAUAAAGAUUUAUUGGUAUAAGAUGAGCAUGCGUCCCAUUAGUUAGUUGGUAAGGUAACGGCUUACCAAGACGAUGAUGGGUAGGGGUCCUGAGAGGGAGAUCCCCCACACUGGUACUGAGACACGGACCAGACUCCUACGGGAGGCAGCAGUGAGGAAUAUUGGACAAUGGGCGCAAGCCUGAUCCAGCCAUGCCGCGUGCAGGAUGAAGCAUCUAUGGUGUGUAAACUGCUUUUGUACGGGAAGAAAAAAAGCUACGUGUAGCUUACUGACGGUACCGUAAGAAUAAGGAUCGGCUAACUCCGUGCCAGCAGCCGCGGUAAUACGGAGGAUCCAAGCGUUAUCCGGAAUCAUUGGGUUUAAAGGGUCCGUAGGCGGCCUUAUAAGUCAGCGGUGAAAGUUUUUGGCUUAACCAAAAAAUUGCCAUUGAUACUGUAGGGCUUGAAUGUUUGUGAAGUAACUAGAAUAUGUAGUGUAGCGGUGAAAUGCUUAGAUAUUACAUGGAAUACCAAUUGCGAAGGCAGGUUACUAACAAAUGAUUGACGCUGAUGGACGAAAGCGUGGGUAGCGAACAGGAUUAGAUACCCUGGUAGUCCACGCCGUAAACGAUGGAUACUAGCUGUUUGGGAGUAAUUCUGAGUGGCUAAGCGAAAGUGAUAAGUAUCCCACCUGGGGAGUACGGGCGCAAGCCUGAAACUCAAAUGAAUUGACGG
rnacentral:rRNA from 1 species